GCCAGCCGCUCAGAACUAAGGAAGUUGACGGGGCCGCACAGCGGAGGAGCAUGUGGUUUAAUUCGAUGAUACGCGAGGAACCUUACCUGGGCUCGAACGUAAGAUGACUGUAGGUGAAAGCUUACAUCUCUUCGGAGCAUUUUACGAGGUGCUGCAUGGUUGUCGUCAGCUCGUGCCGUGAGGUGUCGGGUUAAGUCCCAUAACGAGCGCAACCCCUACCUUUAGUUGCCAUCAGGUAAUGCUGGGGACUCUAAAGGAACUGCCUACGCAAGUAGUGAGGAAGGCGGGGAUGACGUCAAAUCAGCACGGCCCUUACGUCCAGGGCUACACACGUGCUACAAUGGCCGAUACAGAGGGCAGCUACCUGGUGACAGGAUGCAAAUCUCCAAAGUCGGUCUCAGUUCGGAUCGGAGUCUGCAACCCGACUCCGUGAAGUUGGAUUCGCUAGUAAUCGCGCAUCAGCCAUGGCGCGGUGAAUACGUUCCCGGGCCUU
rnacentral:rRNA from 1 species